GAUGAAGAACGUAGCGAAAUGCGAUACUUGGUGUGAAUUGCAGAAUCCCGUGAACCAUCGAGUCUUUGAACGCAAGUUGCGCCUCAAGCCAUUAGGUUGAGGGCACGUCUGCCUGGGCGUCACAUAUCGUUGCCUGAUGCCAGUUUCCUCGUGAUGGGUGACUGUGCAGGGCGAAUGAUGGCUUCCCAUGAGCAUUGUUGCCUCAUGGUUGGUUGAAAAUUGAGUCCUUGGUAGGGAGCGCCGUGAUAGAUGGUGGUUGAGUGACGAACGAGCCCCAAUCAUGUGAGACCCCUACCGAAUUUGGCCUUCAUGACCCACAUGCGUCUUUGGAACGCUCAUGACGAGACCUCAGGUCAGGCGGGGCUACCCGCUGAGUUUAAGCAUAUCAAUAAGCGGAGGA
rnacentral:misc_RNA from 1 species